GGAUUGUGACUCAGUGGUAGAGCGCUCACCUAGCACAUGCAAGGCCCUGGGUUCAAUCCUCAGCACCA
rnacentral:tRNA from 1 species